UGGACAAUUGCCCUAUUAACUUACUUUGUAGCUUGUUUCGCUGCUGCUGACUGCAGCAACCAAGCUUAAGACUGGACCAAUAUCAAAGAUUGUUGGUCCAGGUUGAAAAAAACGGUAGUUACCCCUUUAAAUGUUUUUGAGUUUUUUUGCCGUGUUAAUAUUCAGUGACACUGUUUGCAGUGUUGACAGUCUGAUAUGUAGUAUUUCAUUCAGCUCUCUGAUGUCAAGUCACAGUUGAGUGAGAUCAGCUUUCCGUUUAGCUGUAAACACAAACAAAGCCACAUGGAGCGACAGCAGCUGUGUAAUUAUGCAGUUAGUGAUGAGCUGUCUGCCGAGGGUCGAUUCAAAACCUCACAAAUCA